CUGCUAGAUAUAUUUUGAAUGGAUUUUUUUGUUUUGGCAAGAGCAUGAGAGCUUUUACUGGGCAAGAAGACAAGAGAUGGAGAGUCCAGCCGGGCCUGCGCUUAAGUGCGCGGUCUUGCUAGGCUUGUAAGUUUCUUUCUUGCUAUUCCAAACGGUGAGAGAUUUCUGUGCUUUUGUUAUAGGACAAUUAAAACCGUUUCAAUACAACACACUGUGGAGUUUUCAUAUCUUUGCAACUUUUUCUUUGGGCAUUCGAGCAAUCGGGGCCCAGAGGUAACAAACACAAACAAUUUUAUCUAUUCAUUAAAUUUUUGUCAAAAACAAGAAUUUUCGUAACUGGAAAUUUUAAAAUAUUAAAAACUUUCAACAACGGAUCUCUUGGUUCUCGCAUCGAUGAAGAACGCAGCGAAAUGCGAUACGUAAUGUGAAUUGCAGAAUUCCGUGAAUCAUCGAAUCUUUGAACGCACAUUGCGCCCCUUGGUAUUCCAGGGGGCAUGCCUGUUUGAGCGUCAUUUCCUUCUCAAACAUUCUGUUUGGUAGUGAGUGAUACUCUUUGGAGUUAACUUGAAAUUGCUGGCCUUUUCAUUGGAUGUUUUUUUUCCAAGAGAGGUUUCUCUGCGUGCUUGAGGUAUAAUGCAAGUACAGUCGUUUUAGGAUUUACCAACUGCGGCUAUCUCUUUAUACUGGGCGUAUUGGAGCGUAUCGAUAAGAAGAGAGCGUCGAGGCGAACAUGUCUUAAGUUGACCUCAAUCAGGUAGGAGUACCCGCUGAACUACCUAUCAUAGCGGAGG
rnacentral:rRNA from 1 species